rnacentral:rRNA from 1 species
GACAGAGGUGCCAAGCGUUAGGCGGAAUCACUGGGCUUAAAGCGUGUGUAGGCGGAUGCCUAAGUACCUUGUGAAAUCCCACGGCUCAACCGUGGAACUGCUUGGUAUACUGGGUGUCUUGAGCCAUCUAGGGGCUACCGGAACAAAUGGUGGAGCGGUGAAAUGCGUAGAUAUCAUUUGGAACGCCAAUGGUGAAAAACAGGUAGCUGGGGAUGUGCUGACGCUGAGACACGAAAGCCAGGGGAGCAAACGGG